CGGACGGGUGAGUAACGCGUGAGAAUCUGCCUUUAGGAGGGGGACAACAAACCGAAAGAUCUGCUAAUACCCCAUAUGUCAUUCGAUGAAAUGGAUUUAUCCGCCUAAAGAGGAGCUCGCGGCUGAUUAGCUAGUUGGUAAGGUAAUGGCUUACCAAGGCGACGAUCAGUAACUGGUUUGAGAGGAUGAUCAGUCACACUGGAACUGAGACACGGUCCAGACUCCUACGGGAGGCAGCAGUGGGGAAUUUUCCGCAAUGGGCGAAAGCCUGACGGAGCAAUACCGCGUGAGGGAUGAAGGCUUACUGAGUUGUAAACCUCUUUUUUCAAGGAAGAAGUUCUGACGUUACUUGAAGAAUAAGCAUCGGCUAACUCCGUGCCAGCAGCCGCGGUAAGACGGAGGAUGCAAGUGUUAUCCGGAAUCACUGGGCGUAAAGCGUCUGCAGGUGGUUUUUUAAGUCUGAUGUUAAAACUUGAGGCUCAACCUCAAUCCAGCAUUGGAAACUGAAAGACUAGAGUAUAGUAGGGAUAGAGGAAUUUCCAGUGGAGCGGUGAAAUGCGUAGAUAUUGGAAAGAACACCGAUGGCGAAAGCACUCUAUUGGACUAUUACUGACACUCAGAGACGAAAGCUAGGGGAGCAAUGGGAUUAGAUACCCCAGUAGUC
rnacentral:rRNA from 1 species